rnacentral:rRNA from 1 species
UACGUAGGGUGCAAGCGUUGUCCGGAAUUAUUGGGCGUAAAGAGCUCGUAGGCGGUCUGUCGCGUCGGCCGUGAAAACCUGCAGCUUAACUGUGGGCGUGCGGUCGAUACGGGCAUCACUGGAGUUCGGCAGGGGAGACUGGAAUUCCUGGUGUAGCGGUGAAAUGCGCAGAUAUCAGGAGGAACACCGGUGGCGAAGGCGGGUCUCUGGGCCGAUACUGACGCUGGAGGUGACGAAGGCGUGGGGAGCAAACAGG